UUCAAACACCGAAGUUCCCGCGGAAAUUGCAUAGAUCCUUUGUGUAUAGUGCGAUUUUUCCGUUCAUUAUCUUUAUCAUUGCAGAAAUGGGCGCAGGAAUUCUUCAGAAGAUGAAGUAACAUUUCACAGGAUACCCGUGCGGAGAGAUAGAUACCCCCAACUGCGGUUCUCCUUGGCUGGAAGUAACGCGCUAUUGUUGGAGUAACGACAUAUUCAACUAAUAAUUCGCGGGGUGUCGUCGCGUCUGGCAGCGUUCAAGUGUCUGGUGUCUCGAACGGCUUCCUGUUGUGUGGGUCUCUUUUCUUCGUCGAUUUGCUGGCGGUUGAGUUUCAGCGUUUCCUCGUAGUGGAUAUGAAUACUGUGGCUUUCGCCUAUUUCUUUUCGUGCCAGAGGUCGUUUGAAUUCCAGGGACUUCUUGGUAACUAUUUUUCCUUCAAAACUGAGCGGUACUGUUGGUGGUAACUGAUGGUCAACAGUGGUAUAUGUGCGUUUCUAAAUGCUAAUCUCGGUAGGUACUCCUUUGAAGUGAAAAAUGAAAAUUUGGAGUGCUGGAAGAGCCUAGCAUAGCACUCGACCCACGACCAAGCCGUAGCAUUUAAACCCUGGUUUCAUUGAGCUGGAAGUUACGUAUAACUUCUAGUAAGUUGGCUGCCAUUACUUGGUGUUUGGAUAAAAUUGUUGGAGCAAUAAUGUGGUGUGAUAAAUGUAUGCUUAUGGAAGUUUUGGUUGUUUCUCUUAAGUUAAUUUACAUUAUGG